rnacentral:misc_RNA from 1 species
GAUGAAGAACGCAGCGAAAUGCGAUAAGUAGUGUGAAUUGCAGAAUUCAGUGAAUCAUCGAAUCUUUGAACGCACAUUGCGCCCCUUGGUAUUCCAUGGGGCAUGCCUGUUCGAGCGUCAUUUGUACCUUCAAGCUCUGCUUGGUGUUGGGUGUUUGUCUCGCCUCUGCGUGUAGACUCGCCUCAAAAUAAUUGGCAGCCGGCGUAUUGAUUUCGGAGCGCAGUACAUCUCGCGCUUUGCACUCAUAACGACGACGUCCAAAAGUACAUUUUUACACUCUUGACCUCGGAUCAGGUAGGGAUACCCGCUGAACUUAAGCAUAUCAAUAGCGGAGGA